rnacentral:lncRNA from 1 species
GGGCUAGCAGCAAAGAAGGCACACAUCCUCAAGAACAUUGGUGUUGCAAACUUGAACACCAAGAAGAGAUCAGCGUCAGGAUCUUCGUCAUUCCACUCUACCCAAAUGAACAAGAGACGAGUUCGAAGAGGGUCCGAUCCAAUCCACAACAGGAGCUGAAUUCUAGUGUAUCCCUGUUGUAUUGCAGAGCUGCAAUGGAGGAAGAAGCAUGAACAAGGAAGUGUCCAUGUGUUGGUGGAGAAACUACAAGGUUUUAUUGAUCUAAGAUUCCUUUUGUUUUCUGUCUCCUCAUCUGGUUCUGAAACAGAGCAAUUUGUACAGAGGUGAUAUAGAAAAGAUGCCGUUCGCUAGUCUCUGUUCUAUUAUUAAGAUAGUAUUAGAAGGUGAUGGAGGAUAAUGUUGGAUAUC